UGACAACUCUCAUUUCCCCAAAAUUAGUGUAGAGAAGAGUAUUUGUUAUGGAGGCCAAGAACUCCCAAAAUUUAUUCAUUUCCCCUAAAUUAGUGUAGAGAAUUUUGGAUCUAUAUAUAGCAUUGUUCAUAGCAAAGAAAUUUUUGUGCUUAGUGUCAGAUCAAUUUGGUGACAGCUAGUGAGCUUGCUGGUGGUGUUUGCCCAAAAAAAGAUAUGCCAAGGUUGAAGCGGUUGUAGAAAAACCAAAAACUAGGUCCGUUGGUAUCUACAUCAUAAGGAAAAAAUUAAGUUGGAUUUGAGAGUGUCAUAGAUGAGUCUCAAGUUUCACCAAAUGAUGUUGUUGGUAAGGUGCUAGGAACAUAGCACUCUGGAAGGGUGAGAUGCUUGGGAUUAGGAGCUAUUCCUAGUAGAGUUUUUAAACAAGAUAGACCUCUUUUUGGUGGUACAAGUGCUCAGGUAGUGGAGGUUCUUGUCCAUUCCAAUGUUGAGAAAUCUUUGCUCAAAUGAUGAAUUCUCACAAUCAGAUAAUGAGUUCUUUGAAGGCAUAUAUGAUAAUGAAAGAAGGAACGAUACCAGAAUAAUUUGUGGGGCUCUUUAAUUCUCCUUCAAUGGUUUCUCCCAUAGCAGUAUCAGUAGUAGCUCACAACAUCAUGAUCAGGCAUUUCACAACUUCCAGCGAGCAGGUGAUGAAUUCUUUUUAUUCGGAGACUCAAGUCAGUUUAUAGAUUUAUUAUUUUAUUUUGAUUCAAUUGUAUUAACUAAGGAUAGUUGGGGUUGUGUCUCAGCUACCUAUAGUCAGUAUUAGUAGUGGUUUCAUAGACAG